rnacentral:rRNA from 1 species
UAGGUACCGUCAAUGCCGGAGGUAUUAGCUCCGGGUUUUUCUUUCCUAAUAAAAGUGCUUUACAACCCACAGGCCUUCUUCACACACGCGGCAUUGCUGCAUCAGGCUUGCGCCCAUUGUGCAAUAUUCCCCA